UACAGAGGGUGCGAGCGUUAAUCGGAAUUACUGGGCGUAAAGCGUGCGUAGACGGUAGCGUAAGUCAGAUGUGAAAGCCCCGGGCUCAACCUGGGAACUGCAUCCAAAACUGGCAAGCUAGAGUACGGUAGAGGGUGGUGGAAUUUCCUGUGUAGCGGUGAAAUGCGUAGAUAUAGGAAGGAACACCAGUGGCGAAGGCGACCACCUGGACUGAUACUGACACUGAGGUGCGAAAGCGUGGGGAGCAAACAGG
rnacentral:rRNA from 1 species